CACGUAGGGCGCAAGCGUUGUCCGGAAUUAUUGGGCGUAAAGAGCGUGUAGGCGGCUUUACAGGUCCGUUGUGAAAACUCGAGGCUCAACCUCGAGACGCCGGUGGAAACCGUAAGGCUAGAGUCCGGAAGAGGAGAGUGGAAUUCCUGGUGUAGCGGUGAAAUGCGCAGAUAUCAGGAGGAACACCCGGUGGCGAAGGCGGCCCUCCUGGCUCGACCCUGACGCUGAGA
rnacentral:rRNA from 1 species